rnacentral:rRNA from 1 species
AACGAACGCUGGCGGCAGGCUUAACACAUGCAAGUCGAGCGCCCUGCAAGGGGAGCGGCAGACGGGUGAGUAACGCGUGGGAAUCUACCCAUCUCUACGGAAUAACGCAUGGAAACGUGUGCUAAUACCGUAUACGUCCUUCGGGAGAAAGAUUUAUCGGAGAUGGAUGAGCCCGCGUUGGAUUAGCUAGUUGGUGGGGUAAAGGCCUACCAAGGCGACGAUCCAUAGCUGGUCUGAGAGGAUGAUCAGCCACACUGGGACUGAGACACGGCCCAGACUCCUACGGGAGGCAGCAGUGGGGAAUACUGGACAAUGGGCGCAAGCCUGAUCCAGCCAUGCCGCGUGAGUGAUGAAGGCCCUAGGGUUGUAAAGCUCUUUCACCGGUGAAGAUAAUGACGGUAACCGGAGAAGAAGCCCCGGCUAACUUCGUGCCAGCCGCCGCGGUAAGAC